rnacentral:rRNA from 1 species
AACAGAGGAUGCAAGCGCUAUCCGGAAUGAUUGGGCGUAAAGCGUCUGUAGGUGGCUUUUCAAGUCCGCCGUUAAAUCCCAGUGCUCAACCCUGGACAGGCAGUGGAAACUACCAUGCUAGAGUACGGUAGGGGCAGAGGGAAUUUCCGGUGGAGCGGUGAAAUGUAUUGGGAUUGGAAAGAACACCAACGGCGAAAGCACUCUGCUGGGCCAACAUUGACACUGAGAGAUGAAAGCUAGGGGAGCAAAUGGG